GCUUACGGCCACACCUGUGUGAAUGUGCCUGAUCUCGUCUUGUCUCGGAAGCUAAACACGCUUGGGCUCGGCCAGUACUUUGAUGGUAGACCGCGUGGGAACCCCGAAUGCUGUAAGCU
rnacentral:rRNA from 1 species